rnacentral:lncRNA from 1 species
ACUUAUACAAGCAAGAGCAACAGCUCUAUAUCCAGAUCACUGCAGUGCUUAGAAGAUACAACAGCACAAUUUACAGAUCCAAAUUUCCAGGAAGUCUCUGCACACACCUCUAGUACAAAAGAUGCUUCAGAGACUAGAGGGUCAGAGGGCAAAGAGAGGAAAUAUUCAACUCCCAGCUCAGGUCAAAAGGGAAGAAAGCCUGGUGUUAAAAGAAAUCCAAGAAGGACUGUGUCUGCAACUCGCCCCUUU